AUACGGAGGAUGCGAACGUUAUCCGGAUUUAUUGGGUUUAAAGGGAGCGUAGGUGGGAUAUUAAGUCAGCUGUGAAAGUUUGGGGCUCAACCUUAAAAUUGCAGUUGAUACUGGUUUCCUUGAGUACGGUACAGGUGGGCGGAAUUCGUGGUGUAGCGGUGAAAUGCUUAGAUAUCACGAAGAACUCCGAUCGCGAAGGCAGCUCACCGGGCCGGAACUGACACUGAUGCUCGAAAGUGCGGGUAUCAAACAGGAUUAGAUACCCUGGUAGUCCGCACAGUAAACGAUGAAUACUCGCUGUUUGCGAUACACUGUAAGCGGCCAAGCGAAAGCGUUAAGUAUUCCACCUGGGGAGUACGCCGGCAACGGUGAAACUCAAAGGAAUUGGCGGGG
rnacentral:rRNA from 1 species